GAGAACACUAAGAGCCCGCGGAUUUUAAACAGGAAAAAGAAAGGGCGGAGCAAACUCUGGCGGAUAGUUGUGAGUAAUCCCUGGUCCUUGGAAUAAGUGUCGACCUGAGACAGAAGGGGAACUGUCAGAGAGCUGCCGGAGACCCUGAAAAAGGCCAGAGACGGGGACUUGUGGGGCUGACGAAUGGAAUCACCCAAGGAGAGGUCUCUGACUCUAACAAAACACCUUGGGGACGGAGCUCCUUGGCUGGGAUACAGAGCAGACAAGUCCGGGAUCUUUUAGUGAAUUGCUGCCGGCUUCUAAGGCCUGGAGCAGAUAUUCAACAACAAACUCCACGGACCUAGAAACUCUCCACUUAUCCUACUAUUGUAGACGGUGGCUUACUUUUAGUCUUCCCUAUGCUCUAAGCUUCUGGUAGUAGGAAUCGUGCCUAACUCACUACUGUAUCUUGUGAACCUAGCCCCGCGCCUGGUGGCACGUCAAAUUCUCGGUAAAUAUUUGUGGAUUAAAUGUGAAAGACUGCCUGAGUGUUUAACCUGGAUUUUCUGAGUCGCUGAUGGAGAACAGUAGGUAGACGGGGAACCAGCGCCCUCUGGUGGGCUUGUGGUUCGUGACGAGAACAUGCUGGAACCGUGCAUCCAGAUGCUUGUAUUGAAGAAGGAAUGAGGUAUAGAAUGUAGUUUUCUUUCCACUGUGAAGCCCUGUGUUCACAAGAUUAUCAUACGUUCACUUUCAGUCACUGACACAUGAAAUAACUGAAGUAUAAUGACAGAAUGAUGAGCUGGAGUGUGGUGGUGCACGCCUGUAGCACCAGCUACUUGGGAGACUGAGGCAGUAGGAUCCCUUGAGCUCAAGGGUUCGAGAGACCAUGUCUCUUUAAAAAUAGAAGUUUAGGGCCAGGCGUGGUGGCUCAUACCUCUUAAUCCCAGCACUUUGGGAGGCGGAGGCGGGUGGAUCACCUGAGGUCAGGAGCUUGAGACCAGCCUGGUCAAUAUGGUGAAACCCUGUCUCUACUAAAAAUACAAAAAUUAGCCCAGCGUGGUGGUGCACGCCUGUAAUCCCAGCUACUCAGGAGGCUGAGGCAGGAGAAUCGCUUGAAUCUGGGAGGCAGAGGUUGCAGUGAGCCCAGAUCACGCCACUGCACUCCAGCCUGGGUGACAGAGCAAGACCCCCUCUCAAAAAAUAAAAAUAAAAAAUAGAAUUUUAAAAAUAAAAGAGUGAAAAGAGCCCUAUACAGAUGAACAACAAAAGAUGAAACAAGGCAUACAGUCAUUGUUUAAUUUGGUAAAGAAAAGAAAUUACUUCAAAUGAUCCACAUAUUUCAACCUGUCACUUCACAAACCCUGUUUUGACACAGCUGGUGAAAAUAGUAGAGUUGCAACUUUGAGGAAGAAGCAGGAAUGAAACAAAUGGUCCAUACUGACCUAUUAAAGACGGAUAUGGAGAAAUUGUGCUUCCUGUGAAUAUUAGAAUUGGUUGAUUAAAAAAAAAACCUCAACAUAGAUAAUUAAAAUGGAAUACUUUGUAGCUACCAACUAUGACAAAUAGGUAAACUCAAAAUAAUGUAUGUAGGAAACAAAGUGAAAAGUAUGUAUGGAAAAAUAAGGUUAAGAGAAAAGAAGAAGUAUAUGGAUACUGAUCACAACUGUAUGUGUAUUUAUCAUCUAUAUCAUCAAUAAACAUCCUAAGAGAAUUUGGAAUGAG